rnacentral:rRNA from 1 species
UAGGUAACCUGCCCAUGUGCCCGGGAUAACUUCUGGAAACGGAUGCUAAAACCGGAUAGGUAGCAGACAAGCAUUUGACUGCUAUUAAAGUGGCUAAGGCCAUGAACAUGGAUGGACCUGCGGUGCAUUAGCUAGUUGGUGAGGUAACGGCCCACCAAGGCGACGAUGCAUAGCCGGCCUGAGAGGGCGGACGGCCACAUUGGGACUGAGACACGGCCCAAACUCCUACGGGAGGCAGCAUG